CCAGCAGCCGCGGUAAUUCCAGCUCCAAUAGCGUAUAUUAAAGUUGUUGCAGUUAAAAAGCUCGUAGUUGAACCUUGGGCGCGGCGCAUCCGGUCGACCGCAAGGCCAGACUGGGUCGCCAAGCCUCUUUGGGGGACUCGCUGCUCCGGCGGCGAGGCAACCCGAGUUACUGUGAAGAAAUUAGAGUGUUUAAAGCAGGCGAUCGCUUGAAUACAUCAGCAUGGAAUAACAAGAUAAGACAUUAGUCUUCUUGUUGGUUUGGAGACAAAUGUAAUGAUUAAUAGGGCCAGUUGGGGGCAUUAGUAUUUAGUAGUUAGAGGUGAAAUUCUUGGAUUUACUAAAGA
rnacentral:rRNA from 1 species